UGGGGAAUUUUGGACAAUGGGGGAAACCCUGAUCCAGCCAUCCCGCGUGUGCGAUGAAGGCCUUCGGGUUGUAAAGCACUUUGGGCAGGAAAGAAACGUCAUGGGUUAAUACCCCGUGAAACUGACGGUACCUGCAGAAUAAGCACCGGCUAACUACGUGCCAGCAGCCGCGGUAAUACGUAGGGUGCAAGCGUUAAUCGGAAUUACUGGGCGUAAAGCGUGCGCAGGCGGUUCGGAAAGAAAGAUGUGAAAUCCCAGAGCUCAACUUUGGAACUGCAUUUUUAACUACCGGGCUAGAGUGUGUCAGAGGGAGGUGGAAUUCCGCGUGUAGCAGUGAAAUGCGUAGAUAUGCGGAGGAACACCGAUGGCGAAGGCAGCCUCCUGGGAUAACACUGACGCUCAUGCACGAAAGCGUGGGGAGCAAACAGG
rnacentral:rRNA from 1 species